rnacentral:rRNA from 1 species
AGCGAACGCUGGCGGCAAGCUUAACACAUGCAAGUCGAACGGAUGUAGCAAUACAUUAGUGGCGCACGGGUGCGUAACACGUGGGAAUCUGCCUUUAGGUAAGGAAUAACUCAGGGAAACUUGAGCUAACACCUUAUAAUGUCUUCGGACCAAAUAUUUAUAGCCUAGAGAUGAGCCCGCGGUAGAUUAGCUAGUUGGUGGGUAAGUGGCCUACCAA